rnacentral:rRNA from 1 species
UACGUAGGGCGCAAGCGUUAUCCGGAAUUAUUGGGCGUAAAGAGCUCGUAGGCGGUCUGUCGCGUCGAUCGUGAAAACUUGGGGCUUAACCCUGAGCUUGCGGUCGAUACGGGCAUGACUGGAGUUCGGCAGGGGAGACUGGAAUUCCUGGUGUAGCGGUGAAAUGCGCAGAUAUCAGGAGGAACACCGGUGGCGAAGGCGGGUCUCUGGGACGGUACUGACGCUGAGACGCGAAAGCGUGGGGAGCGAACAGG